CCCUUAGAUGUUCUGGGCCGCACGCGCGCUACACUGAUUCAUGCAACAAGUUUUGUCCUUGGCUGAUAGGCCUGGGUAAUCUUUGAACGUGAAUCGUGAUGGGGAUAGAUGAUUGCAAUUAUUCAUCUUCAACGAGGAAUUCCUAGUAAACGCAAGUCAUCAGCUUGCAUUGAUUACGUCCCUGCCCUUUGUACACACCGCCCGUCGCUCCUACCGAUUGAGUGCUCAGGUGAAUAAUUCGGACUGCAGCAGUGUUUGGAUCCCGAACGCUGCAGCGGAAAGUUUAGUGAACCUUAUCACUUAGAGGAAGGAGAAGUCGUAACA
rnacentral:rRNA from 1 species